GCCACCUUUGACUGGAAGAUGACUCCUGUCUGUUUCAUAGGGGCCUUGCAAACCUCACCAUGAUAUACAUAGCCAGUAAACGGGAGUCCCUAUAACACAAGACAGAUGAUAAACUUCUCCGGCAGCCUGGGAAAGGAGAGGGCAAUGCAUUGCAGGAAAAAAAAAAGCACGAAUUUCUCUUUGGGUGACUACUUUGUUUCCUUUUCAUCAGUUAUGGGAACUCCAUUUUGAACAAAGGAAAUGCAAACUGGCAAAGAAACAAAGGGCCUUUGGUUUUCCCUUUGGACUUUAUGGUAGCAGCUGUAAGAUAAUCCAUGCCCUUUGCUGAACCUGUGUGUAUGAGAAAACCACAGCAGCUCACAUGCCCAUUGGCUUAUCUCCUGAAGGAGGUUACUGGCCAAGUGACAGUUGUGAUCUCUACGUGUACCAAGUGCAGUGCUGCUGUAUACUGUUGUAACAUCCAUCUUUCCUUGUUCCCUUCUUUCACUGCCCUCCAACAUCAUGCAUCAGAUUCUCUGGAAAGGGACCUCUGCCAACAGGUCAAGAGUGAUGUGCCCAGCUCCAUGUCCACGGUCAUACCCUAGGAAACCUAGAGCAAGUCAAAUUGUCUGUGGGGAGAGACAAACACCUUUGGAAGUGGAGAAUAUCCCCACUAGGCUGAGACAUCUGUCAUAGAGGCAUCCUUCUCCAGCAGUGCCUUGUCUCUCCCUGCUGGCUGCAAAAGGGAUGUCUGGUUUAGAGAAGUCAGUAGCUUUCAGAAGGAUAAAUUCAAAUGGAACCAAUCUGCUCCUGAAGGUACAUGCUUGCAUAGCUGUUGGCUGGCCCUUCUGUUUUAAUCACUUCCUUCUCCUUUCUCUCGUUGAAGAGCGCAUGGCUCUCCCACUCCUUCUCAGUGGUUGCUCAGAGACUUUCCUCACACUGGGUGGCUGCUUGGGAAGUCAUCAGCUGCCAGAUGAGCAAGGAGGGAAAGUGACAGCUGCCUGAGGGAAGGAGCUGGCACGUGGAGCAGAGCAAGAAUCCUGCUAAAAGAGCCACGACUGUUUCCACCCCUUUUUUAAUGCUGAAGGUCUACCUCUCUAUUCUCCAAAGAGCAUUUUCCUGAAAUUCACUGCAGGAAUUUCGACUGCUGCCCAGCUGCAUCAUUCUGACACACAGGCAGAAUGAAGAGGGCUCCAGUAUGACCAUCUGUGGGACAUAGGAUGCAACCAUGGACAUCACAACUCAAGUAUGGGAACUCCAGCAGAAAUGAAGAGCCAUGCGGGGGCUGGAAGUGUUGCUGUGCUUGUGGGGAGGCAGCAUGACCAGAUGAACCCAGCAUCUCUGCCUUCACCACACAAAAAGGAAGAGGGAAGAUAGUCUUGAAGACCAUAAUAAGUCAAGGCAGGUGAAAAGCUCUUGUUAAAACUAAAGGACAGUGUGUCAUACAAACUAAUGUGAUUAAAUUGUAAUAAGAUUUUAACUGGAAAUAAUCAGCAUGUUUCAUCACAGGAGCAGUGGGAUCCUUCUUGCCAGCAACCCCAAACCCUAAUUACUCCUAAAGUGGUCCUAGGCAGCAGAGGCUUUAUACAUGGUCUUUUCCAACCCUGUGUUCAGCCAACUCGUAGAAUCAUUAAGGCUGGAAAAGGCCUGUCAGAUCAUCCAAUCCAGCCAUCAAACCAUUCCCACCAUGCCC
ensembl:lncRNA